CGGGAGAAGGAGGCAGCGAGGCUGGCUCGGAGCAGCCUCAGGCAUUGCGUGAGCUUACUGUUACUACGUGUGUUCAAUGGGACUCCGUGAUGGUCGCUGACCGCCCCACGACCGCUGGAGGAACUAAACAAAAAACGUCAGCCUUUGAUUCACAGAGGUAAUUGUCAAAUGUACACAGCACGAAAAAAAAAAGGUGAGGCGAACGGCGGUGGUGCUUGGGUCACAACAGGAAACAGGAUAUCCGUUUGCCGAUGACAUCGCCAUUCAGACCCCCACUUCCAUCCUGCUUUUCUUCUUCUUGGAACUCACGUCUCAGCAAAGCGGUCACAUGACAAAGUACAGACUUCACAGGAGACGGCUCAUCUUGUUCUUCAUUGUUUUUUUUUUGUGUUUUGUUUUGUUUUGUAAAUUCAUUUAAAAAAAAAGAAAGGUGAUCAAGAAUGAUCAGUUAACAAGGCAUAUAAAAUGAGAAAAAAAGGUGUGUGUGUGUGUGUGUGUGUGUGUGUGUGUGUGUGUGUGUGUGUGUGCGUGUGUGUGUGUGUGUGUGAGGGGAAAUGAAAGAUUGGACUGAGGUACCCUGAAGCCUGAGGUAGAUCACAAUACUGACAUGCGCACUGUUUACAUCCUGCGGUGGUUCACGUUGACUGUUCUCCCAUAUUUUUUUUCAUUUUUUUUCUCUUUAUAUUUGUUUUCAAGAAAAUAAACAAUUCCCUUCAAAACAAUAUGGCAGUGUCCCACUGAGGGCAAAAAAAUAAAGAAAAAAGAAAACAAA